rnacentral:rRNA from 1 species
AUGCCUCAGUACGGCGAGUGAAGCGGCAAAAGCUCAAAUUUGAAAUCUGGCACCUUCGGUGUCCGAGUUGUAAUUUGAAGAAGGUAACUUUGGAGUUGGCUCUUGUCUAUGUUCCUUGGAACAGGACGUCACAGAGGGUGAGAAUCCCGUGCGAUGAGAUGCCCAAUUCUAUGUAAAGUGCUUUCGAAGAGUCGAGUUGUUUGGGAAUGCAGCUCUAAGUGGGUGGUAAAUUCCAUCUAAAGCUAAAUAUUGGCGAGAGACCGAUAGCGAACAAGUACAGUGAUGGAAAGAUGAAAAGAACUUUGAAAAGAGAGUGAAAAAGUACGUGAAAUUGUUGAAAGGGAAGGGCUUGAGAUCAGACUUGGUAUUUUGCAAGCCUUACCUUCGUGGUGGGGUCCCCUGCAGUUUACUGGGCCAGCAUCGGUUUGGAUGGUAGGAUAAUGACUUGGGAAUGUGACUUUGCUUCGGUAAAGUGUUAUAGCCCUUGUUGAUACUGCCUGUCUAGACCGAGGACUGCGUCUUUGACUAGGAUGCUGGCAUAAUGAUCUUAAGUCGCCCGUCUGA